rnacentral:rRNA from 1 species
CUAGAUUUCAUAGUUUGAUCCUGGCUCAGAUUGAACGCUGGCGGCAUGCCUUACACAUGCAAGUCGAACGGCAGCGCGGACUUCGGUCUGGCGGCGAGUGGCGAACGGGUGAGUAAUACAUCGGAACGUACCCUGUUGUGGGGGAUAACUAGUCGAAAGAUUAGCUAAUACCGCAUACGACCUGAGGGUGAAAGCGGGGGACCGAAAGGCCUCGCGCAGCAGGAGCGGCCGAUGUCUGAUUAGCUAGUUGGUGGGGUAAAGGCCCACCAAGGCGACGAUCAGUAGCUGGUCUGAGAGGACGAUCAGCCACACUGGGACUGAGACACGGCCCAGACUCCUACGGGAGGCAGCAGUGGGGAAUUUUGGACAAUGGGGGCAACCCUGAUCCAGCAAUGCCGCGUGUGUGAAGAAGGCCUUCGGGUUGUAAAGCACUUUUGUCCGGAAAGAAAUUGCUCUGGCUAAUACCUGGGGUAGAUGACGGUACCGGAAGAAUAAGCACCGGCUAACUACGUGCCAGCAGCCGCGGUAAUACGUAGGGUGCGAGCGUUAAUCGGAAUUACUGGGCGUAAAGCGUGCGCAGGCGGUUUUGUAAGACAGGCGUGAAAUCCCCGGGCUCAACCUGGGAAUUGCGCUUGUGACUGCAAGGCUAGAGUGCGUCAAGGGGGGUAAAUUCCCGUGUACAGUGAAAUGCGUAAGAUGUGGAGGAUACCGAUGGCGAAGCAGCCCCUGGGACGUGACUGACGCUCAUGCCCGAAGCGUGGGGAGCAAAAGAUUAAAUACCCUGUAGUCCACCCCUAAACGAUGUCACUAGUGUGGGAUCAUUUCUCAUAACGUACUACGGGGAGUGACGCUGGGGAGUCGGCCAGAUAAACUCAGGAU